rnacentral:rRNA from 1 species
GAUAAACGCUGGCGGCGUGCAUGAGACAUGCAAGUCGAACGAACGAGCUUGCGCGUUAGUGGCGGACGGCUGAGUAACGCGUAGGUGACCUGCCCCGAAGUGGGGGAUAACUGCCCGAAAGGGUGGCUAAUACCGCAUGUGGCGACACUUUCAUUGGUGUCAUCAAAGCCGCGAGGCGCUCCGGGAGGGGCCUGCGUCCGAUUAGCUCGUUGGUGGGGUAAUGGCUCACCAAGGCGACGAUCGGUAGGUGGUCUGAAAGGACGAUCACCCGGACUGGGACUGAGACACGGCCCAGACUCCCACGGGAGGCAGCAGUCGGGAAUUUUGCGCAAUGGGCGCAAGCCUGAAGCAGCAACGCCGCGUGCGGGAUGAAGGCCUUCGGGUUGUAAACCGCCUUUGUCAGGGACGAUGAUGACGGUACCUGGCGAAUAAGUCACGGCUAACUACGUGCCAGCAGCCGCGGUAACAC